rnacentral:rRNA from 1 species
GAGCGCAACCCCUAUCCUUAUUUGCCAGCACGUAAUGGUGGGAACUUUAGGGAGACUGCCGGUGAUAAACCGGAGGAAGGUGGGGACGACGUCAAGUCAUCAUGGCCCUUACGAGUAGGGCUACACACGUGCUACAAUGGCGUAUACAGAGGGUUGCAAAGCCGCGAGGUGGAGCUAAUCUCACAAAGUACGUCGUAGUCCGGAUUGGAGUCUGCAACUCGACUCCAUGAAGUCGGAAUCGCUAGUAAUCG